AGGAAAGGCACAUUCUGAAGAUAGUCAUUGCAUGGUUUAAUAAAAAUUGUAGGUAGCCAGGAUGGCAAAACGAAAUCUAGAUUUGGUUUUAAAAAAAGCUAAAAAUAGGAGCUCAAUAAAAUAUCCCAGCUGCUUUUCUAGUUUCCUUCAAAUUCUACCUGCAGUGAUGAGAAAAAUAACUCAACAUUUGCUUGGAGCCUUGGGAACUUUUAAGAUUUGCAAAAUUUAUUUGUGGAGAGUUAAAGCCCUCUCUUCAUGCUCCUUCCUGUGCUGUUCUCUUCUUUCCCCUGUUCGCUAUCUGAUAAGGGAUUCUGCCUUGGACUUGUCAUGCCGGACACCCCUCAGGACUUCCAGGUGAAGACUUCUAAAGCUGGAGCUCACACUGAUUCUAUUCUUCUUUGAACUGCUACAGUCCUUAUUUGUGUUUUUUCAUUUUAACUAUUUUAUAUACUAGCUGUUAGUUGCCAGUGAUGCCCCCUGAGUAAUCAUGGUUUCAAGUGUUUCUGGCCUUGUACAGUAACCUCCUGCACCAAAUGAAAGCUGAACCUUCAAUUAGUGUUAAUCAGUAGAGAGAGGUGCUUAACCAGUCUUGAGUCAGUGGACAACGCCAGGCAGAUUUGGCUGCUG
rnacentral:lncRNA from 10 species